CCACGCUGUACGGGGCCGGGGCCCGCCGCAUCCCGGCGGCGGCCGGGUGUGCCGCGCCCGGGCCGGGUCACUCCGGCAGCGGGGUCC
rnacentral:tRNA from 1 species